GUCUGUGCUGAGAAGCCACAGUUUAGACUCAGAGCUGAAGUCUGAACUCCACCUUCAGGCAGAAUGAGGUUCAUCCUGGCAUCUCUGCUUCUCAUACUGCUGGUUAGCAGCCUCUGUCCGGUCCAUGGUAUUCUAGAGAUCAAUAACCACAAACUUAAAGUGCCAAUGCAAGCAAACGAGUUCAUCCUACAUCAGACCCCGCUUGAUUUCAACGAUUCAUAUCAGACCCCGAGGGAAUGGUUGUCCUAAACAAAGAAAUCAUACUCACAUUGAAGAACAAAUCAACUAUAUGCGUGGAUCCUUCAUCUGAUUGGGCAAAACGAGUUAUAAAAUUAGGGAG